UUUCNGUAGGUGAACCUGCGGAAGGAUCAUUA
rnacentral:rRNA from 2 species